AGGGAAUCUUCCGCAAUGGACGAAAGUCUGACGGAGCAACGCCGCGUGAGUGAUGAAGGUUUUCGGAUCGUAAAACUCUGUUGUUAGGGAAGAACAAGUACCGUUCGAAUAGGGCGGCACCUUGACGGUACCUAACCAGAAAGCCGCGGCUAACUACGUACCAGCAGCCGCGGUAAUACGUAGGUGGCAAGCGUUGUCCGGAAUUAUUGGGCGUAAAGCGCGCGCAGGCGGUCUUUUAAGUCUGAUGUGAAAGCCCACGGCUCAACCGUGGAGGGUCAUUGGAAACUGGAAGACUUGAGUGCAGAAGAGGAGAGUGGAAUUCCACGUGUAGCGGUGAAAUGCGUAGAGAUGUGGAGGAACACCAGUGGCGAAGGCGACUCUCUGGGCUGUAACUGACGCUGAGGCGCGAAAGCGUGGGGAGCAAAC
rnacentral:rRNA from 1 species